rnacentral:misc_RNA from 1 species
GAAAAUUCAUCUAAUAAAUUGCAGUUCACCGGUUGACGAGGAGAUGGAAACUCACAUGUCUCAUCAUCAUCAGUAUGAAAGACGACCCAUAUACAAGUCCAAAGCUCCUGCUUCCAAAUGGUUUAAGGAAUGGGUCCCACAAGAUGUUGUAGCAACUGGUGGGAAGUGCUACGUCUUAAAGUGGGUGAAUGAGGCCACAUUAAAAGCUCUGAGGGAGAAGCCAAAAGAGGCAGGAGUACCUGUGUCAGAACCAGAGCCAACUACUGAAGUUCUUUUUCUUUGUAGCUAUGAAGGUUGUGGAAAGACAUUUAUUGAUGCUGGGGCCUUGAGGAAGCAUUCUCACAUCCACGGGGAGAGGCAGUAUGUAUGCCACUAUGAGGGUUGUGGAAAGAAAUUCUUGGAUAGUUCCAAGCUAAAACGACACUUUCUUAUUCACACUGGAGAAAGAGACUAUGUGUGUCCACAUGAAGGCUGUGGUAAGGCAUUCUCACUGGAUUUUAACUUAAGAUCACACAUGAAAACACACUCCCAGGAGAACUAUCAUAUUUGCCCGUAUCCAGAAUGUGGAAAGCGAUAUGCACAUGAGUACAAGCUUAAAAAUCAUAUUUCAUCUACUCACCAGAAGAACAACACACCAGAUGCACAUGCACAUCCACAUCCACAUGCUCAUGCACCAAAGUAUACCCCGCCUGUGGAGAAGCCAGUGAAGACUCCGAAAUCUUCUUCAGCAGCUUAUGGCUCAUCAUCAUCUGACCGUCCUUACAGCUGUCCAUACGAAGGUUGUGACAAAUCUUACAUCCAUGAGUACAAGCUGAAUCUUCAUUUGAGGAACAUGCACCCUGGUCAUUUCCCAGAGGAGAACGCGAGAAAUGUUCAAUCCACUGCUGACAAUGAGAUAGAUGAAGGCAGUGAUCAGGACGCAUAUGCUGCAAGACGUGGAAACGGAAGAAGUCAGAAACAGAGCAGACCAAAACCAAGCUUAAAGCAGCCGCCUUUGAAAGUUGCACGCAAAAGCUCAUCUAGUGCUGCUCAAGCCAAUCUAAUUAUAUCGAAGAAACCUUGGCCGGUUAAAGAAGAGAACUUCAAUGAAGAAGAUAGUGAAGAAACAGAGGAGGAGCGGGAUGAUGUUGGCGAUGGAUGGAGGUAUGGUGAAAACGAUGACGACGAUGAAGAGACUGAAGAAGAUGACUAGGCUUAUAUGUCAUACAUACUCAUAGGUAGUUAAGUAGUACACUAUGUUUUGGGAUAUAAAUGGUUGUCAUUGUCUAGAAAAUGGGAUUGGUCCUUGCUUGUUAAUGCCUUUUUGUGUUUUAUGAAAAGCAUGAGGCUUUAGCUGUUUC